CUUGCUUUCUCCGCCGGCGACCGGCGCACGGGUGAGUAACACGUAUGCAACCUGCCCCUGUCAGGGGGACAACCCGCCCGAAAGGCGGGCUAAACCCGCGUACAUGCCACCGGGGCAUCCCGGAGGCAGGAAAGGCUUCGGCCGGACAGGGAUGGGCAUGCGGCGCAUUAGGCAGUAGGCGGGGUAACGGCCCACCUAACCGACGAUGCGUAGGGGUUCUGAGAGGAAGGUCCCCCACACUGGUACCGAGACACGGACCAGACUCCUACGGGAGGCAGCAG
rnacentral:rRNA from 1 species